rnacentral:rRNA from 1 species
GACGAACGCUGGCGGCGUGCUUAACACAUGCCAGUCGAACGGUGAAGCUCCAGCUUGCUGGAGUGGAUCAGUGGCGAACGGGUGAGUAACACGUGAGCAACCUGCCCCUGACUCUGGAAUAAGCGCUGGAAACGGCGUCUAAUACUGGAUACGAGAAGGGUCCGCAUGGGCACUUUCUGGAAAGUUUUUCGGUUGGGGAUGGGCUCGCGGCCUAUCAGCUUGUUGGUGAGGUAAUGGCUCACCAAGGCGACGACGGGUAGCCGGCCUGAGAGGGCGACCGGCCACACUGGGACUGAGACACGGCCCAGACUCCUACGGGAGGCAGCAGUGGGGAAUAUUGCACAAUGGGCGAAAGCCUGAUGCAGCGACGCCGCGUGAGGGAUGACGGCCUUCGGGUUGUAAACCUCUUUCAGCAGGGUAGAAGCGAAAGUGACGGUACCUGCAGAAGAAGCACCGGCUAACUACGUG